UCUGCUGUGCGAGCCGCGGCGCGAGGUCGCCCACGCUCCCUUCUCCCCGCCCUGUGGGUCCCGGGCACCCGGAGUGUUCGGUGUCUGGCGCCCGUGCGUGAUGACGUACACGCGCGCCAAGACGUGGGGACGCAGGCGGGCCGUAGAGAGCGUUCAGCUCCCUGUGUAUCUUCCCCAAUGCCUAAAACCUGACCACAUUUUCCCAUCACUGGGUUGACAUCUAACCAUGCAGCGGAGAUCAAGAGGAAUUAAUACUGGACUUAUUCUGCUCCUUUCUCAAAUCUUCCAUGUUGGGGUCAACAAUAUUCCACCUGUCACCCUAGCAACUUUGGCUGUCAACAUCUGGUUCUUCUUGAGUCCUCUGAAGCCACUGUUGAGCUCCUGCCUUAGCGUGGAGACGUGUUACCAGCAGAAAGACUGGCAGCGCUUACUGCUUUCUCCUUUUCACCAUGCAGACGAUUGGCAUUUGUAUUUCAAUAUGGCAUCCAUGCUAUGGAAAGGAAUCAAUCUGGAAAGGAGACUGGGAAGUAAAUGGUUUGCCUAUGUCAUCGUCACAUUCUCGCUACUCACCGGGGUGGUGUACCUGUUGUUGGAAUUUGCUCUUGCAGAAUUUAUGAAUGAGCCUGGCUUCAGAAGAAACUGUGCUGUAGGUUUCUCAGGAGUUUUGUUUGCUUUGAAAGUUCUUAACAACCAUUAUUGCCCUGGAGGCUUUGCCAACGUUUUGGGCUUUCCUGUACCCAACAGAUUUGCUUGUUGGGCAGAACUUGUGGCUAUUCAUUUCAUCUCGCCAGGGGCUUCUUUCGCUGGGCAUCUGGCCGGGAUUCUCGUCGGACUAAUGUACACUCUUGGGCCUCUGAAGAAAAUCAUGGAAAUGUGUGCAGGCAAUUUUCCCUCCCCUGUUCAUUACCCAGGACAGCAGUACUACUUUAAUAGCUCAGGCUACUCCAGAUAUCAGGAUUAUUACCCCCACGGCAUGCCAGGUUACUCUGAAGAAGUACCCAGGGACUAUGACGCAUACACAGCAGGACUGAGUGAAGAGGAACAACUGGAGAGAGCAUUAAGAGCCAGCCUCUGGGACCGAGAACGCUCCCUUUGGAUCAUGGUUCUUGCUUGCAGCUCUGUGUUGGGAGAUACUCACUUCAGCGAGUGAAGUUUGACAUUCGAGACUGUGCCUAGAUGUCAAAUUGUGCCCGUAAAGAAACAUAAGCAAGCUUGACUGCAGACAGACUUCUCAGCUUUUCUCUGUCACCAGGGGCAGAGUCCACCUGACUGUCGAGGGAAGGGAGACAGAUGAUAAAGUGUGACAGACGGCUCUGAUGUACGUGUGCUAACAUCUGGUAAGAUGUGUGCCGUGAUUGCUGCGUGGUUCUGCUUCUGUUUCGCCAUCAGAAUGGUCAGCACUCAACUCCUUUUCUGGAAGUUCUACCUGAAUUCCAGAUGUCCUGAGGUGGACUGUGUUGAGGACCUAAGACAGUGAUGAUGGCUAACUGAGCUCAUCUAUAACAGUCUUGAGAAUUUGGUUAACGUUUGUUGUUCUAGUUUUAAAAGCAAUAUAUAUUCACUGCGGAAAAUACAAAUGAGAAAAGAAGACAAAAAGAGAACCCAUAACCCCAGCACCCAGAGAAGAACCACGUAACAUUUGAGGUGUACCCUCGCAGCUACCCAUAACAUAGGCACCCAGAAGAAACCACAGCAAAUGUUGUGGUGAAAUUCUUUCCAAGUCAGCAAGAAUUAAGUGCCUCUCCGUGGGACGAGGAAGGUUCACAUACCCACACAGAACCCUAAGAAAUAAGCAUUUGCAAUUAUCUUUGUUAUUUCAGAUUGUGAAGCAGUGGCAUAGAGAAGUUAAAUGACUUGCCCAGGGUCGCAUUCUAAGUGGUAAACACCAGACAAGAAGGGACACUAGUUGGGACACUUUUAUGUCUUACCAACAGAGCCUGUUUAGAAGAAGCAUUUCUAGGCUGCUACUGAAUUGUUGAUGACAGGAGAGAGGUUUUCUCCGUAUAGUCAAGACCUAACUGACCUGGAGUUAGGUUUGUAUUCUUGGAGAUGGUUUGGCUGAUGUGAUGUUCCUGAAUUCAGAACCCUGAAAACGGAGGGGGGGUGUGGCUACGCCCUUUAGAAAGACUGUAUUACUUCCAGAAUAACAGUGACAUUUCCCUCACCGUCUUCUUCACCUGCCCAUCUAUGAUUGGCCAAGCCCUGUCGUUUGGUUGGAUUUUGGUUUUUGUUUAAGCAACAGAUCCAGAUUGGUUUAAAAAUUGGAAAACAAAUGUUUGUUUUGUAGGGAAAGAACUCCCUCUUGCACAAGAAACCUGCACCUCAGGUACCUUAAAGGACACACACACACACACACACACACACACACACACAAAAGUGCUUACUGUAGACAAUCAUAAAUAAUCUUCUGAGCUGUCAUUCGUUUUUACCAAAAUGUAUAGCAUAUGAAUGUGAAAAUACUGUUUUUAAUAUAGAAACAUCAGUGACAUUUUAAUUAAGGAUAUUUGCAUCAUUCAUUUUAAUAGGGCUCUAUUUUUGUUCAGUAGCUUUCCUUUAAAAAAACUUUUUUUAAUGUUUAUUUUUAAGGAAGAGAGAGAGAGACAGAGCACGAGCGGGAGAGGGGCAAAGAGAGAGGGAGACACAGAAUCCAAAGCAGGCUCCAGGCUCUGAGCUGUCAGCACAGAGCCCGAUGUGAGGCUUGAACCCCUGAACUGCGAGAUCAUGACCUCGGGAUUAAAUCUUGGAUAUAUUAUUGUGAUCCUUUGCUUAAUUUAUUUAGAUUAUUUUCAAAGUCAAUGACAAAAAUAGGACAAAGCAGUGCCAAAGUUACCUGAGCUCAACUGACUGAGCCACCCAGGCACCCCUGGUAACUUUCCUUUUAGAAGAGAAAUGAUUGAGAACAAAAAGGAAGGCAUGUGCUCACAUUAGGUGUGGCUUAAGACAUCAGAAUUUGACAUCAGGCUGUCACACAUUUCUCCUGCUCCUCAGGAGUGGGAAUUAUUCCCGUGAGAAUUUCCAGUGUCAUCCACUCUGCCUCUCAAAGCCCUCUUAGACUUGUGCUGUCUUCCUUCCACUUUGUCAUGUUGUGUUGUGUUGUGUUGUGUUGCUAGUAAGAAAAAUCAAGUCAUAUGUUGGUUUCCAUUUGUUGUAGGCUCACAAAUGGCUUUCACAGUGGUCUAGUUUCAUCACAUGGUGGUUCUCCAAGGGUCCAGAACUAUUUAUAAUUCUGUUGUAUUUAGUUACGGAGAGCCAGAUGUGAGAGUCAUGCAUACUAUGUAUUUAUAUAUCUUCAUGAAUCUCAGUUAGGGACCAGAAAUCUUCCUGUGCCACAUCUGUGUUACAUAAAUCUAUUUUUGUUGUAACACAGGACCAAAACUGUGCAGUGUUAGGAAGAUUACUAUAAAUAUUAAGCUGAUUAAAAUUACAUUGUAAUCAUCUGCUUGGGAAAAAUUGCAGAAUGGCCUAAUCAUGCCAUGAGAAGGGACAGGUCAAAUAAAUUAUGAUAUAGAAUAAUACUCAGCCAUUAAAAGGACCUAGUGAAUGUACCGUAAAAAAGAUUGGGAUGAUAUUUAACAAAAUGCCGCUUACCCUUAUUUCUCAAGAAUAAGAUUAUGGUGACUUUUAUUUUCUUAUUUUGGCUUAACUCCCUUUUCAAAAAUGUCUCCAAAAUCAUGUAGAACCUUUAUAAGGAAAAAAAAUUAGUAAAAUGAAUCUGGGCAUUGCUAAAACUGUUCACGCUUAGCCAUGCUCUUCUCUGAUGUUCUCCACGUCCCCAUUCCACCUAAGGCUUCAGGUUGUUUGUUGUGGAGAAGGGCAGACACACCUCAUUCGUUCACCUCCAGCCUCCGCGGGCUACUCGUGGGCAGUCAGAGUGAUGGAGGAGACUGAGCAGAGCCCAGAUCCCUCCAGAUCCAGUCUCCCCUUUUCCUUCUUGUUUACCCCCUUUCCCAUUCCAUCCCUACUCUGAACCUUCCAGGCUGAAGUGAUCCACACACUUUAGGCAAGAAGGCCGACUGCUCCCCUUAUUAGUAGCUAGCUCUUCCUGGCUACUGCAGUGACUUCUUUCUUAAGGUUCCAGAACAUACUGGAUUCUGUCUUACUCUGAGGCUGCUUUAGCACAGAGUUUCGGAACCAUGGCCCCAGGCAGUUCCAUUUUACCUGACAGUAUGCGAAAUGGAAAACUUCGUACAUUUUCUCGAGUGGGGUCCUUUCCUAUCUGUUUGUUCCACUUCCUCUGAACAAAAGGAUGUGUGGUGGUUGGAAUGCAGAGGUUUGGGUCACCAGGGAAAGAAGUCUGGCAUGCUUUCCGUGGGAGAGUGUUGUUUUAUUGCAAAAUACAGUUUUGUGUCACUAGAAAACAGUAUGGGUUGACUCUUGAAUCACUACAUUUAGAAUUAUUUGCAAAUCCCCCUAAACAACCCAAAGCCCAGUAGUUUUUAAUUUUCAGCUCAGUGAGACUAAAAGGAAACAGUUUGCUUUUGGCUACGGUGAUGCUGAAAGAACAUAAAAUGUAGCUAGCCCAGCGACAGUAAGGGAGAUAAAGUGUUUAAUAAGUGUCUCCUAGAAGAAGUGACAUCUGCAUAGAGCACCUGCUGUCUUCAUUAUAACUUUAAAUAAGCUGUGUCUCUGGGGGUUAGCAGGGCCCUUCUUUUGGCGCACACUGCUGUGACAAAGAUACAUUUUAAACCCCAAGUAAUUUACUGUGGAAUAGAGGAUGCUUUUCGGUGGGACGUUUGCGGGUGCAGAGGGAAAUAAGUCCCUGACUUAGAUAACUCAGGCCCAGUAAGUCCCGUUUUGAGCAUAAUCUUGACACAAUGACCGUUGUCAAGUUAUGACAUUUCCUAGCCCUUGGUAUCCCUAAUUAUUUGCCAAUUAUCAUUUUAAUGUUUUAUAUAUCACAGAGGCAUGUAAACCAGGCUUCUUAGUAUGUGGGCAUAGCUGGUUAGAGCAAUUCUGGCUUUCUUUGUGCGCUUUGAAGAAGGGGCCUGAGCAGUGCCCGUGUUGAUGGCUUUGUUCUGUUACGGUUUUACUCAUCACAGUCCCGCAUAUGGGGACCCAGGGGUGGGUAGAAGCGGAAGUUCUUUGAGGAGUACCUUUCUCAGAGAACCUUUCAAAAAUCCAUUGCUGGGGUGCCUGGGUGGCGCAGUCGGUUAAGCAUCCGACCUUAGCCCAGGUCACGAUCUCACGGUCCGUGAGUUCAAGCCCCGCGUCGGGCUCUGGGCUGAUGGCUCAGAGCCUGGAGCCUGCCUCCGAUUCUGUGUCUCCCUCUCUCUCUGACCCUCCCCCGUUCAUGCUCUGUCUGUGUCUCAAAAGUAAAAUAAACGUUUAAAAAAAAAUUUAAAAAAAAAUCCAUCGCCAUUCUGGCAGAUUACCAUCUAACCAAGAAUGAUUUCCAUAAACAAUGGCUGUGAAAAUGUGGGGCCCCAGAAAACAGUAUUUAAUCAGCAGUGUGGUUCAUCUUAUUAGCUCAAGGAGAAAAUAACUCACCACCAAAUUCUACUCCAUUAUAGAUAAGAUUGUUUGAAGCCAAAAUCAAAAACAUCUGUUGGGUUUUUUGGGGUUUUUUUUUUUUUUUUUGCUUUUUCUUUUUUUUUUUUAGCUGUGUGAAACUUACGCUUUGUCCCCCAAAGCAGCAGCAGUUUGUACAGAUGCUGUAUACCCUGUGUCUCUAAGACCUUGACACCAUACAAGGGGGACAUCUUCAGAGUUAAUGAGCAAUUAGGACAUUCUUUCCUGUCAAUUAACUGGCAGGAUAAUGAGAUCAAAUGAGCACUGUCCUUAAAAACCCCCAGACUUGUAUUUGCUGAAAAAGCGUAUCUCCCUCUGCUCUUUGCAGUUACACAAAUAGAGAAAUAACAACUGAAAAUGGAAAUAAAAAUUGCGCCUAGAGCAAACAGGAGACAGGCAUACAGAGAGGAUGCCGUUUACUCUAAGCUCGGAAUUCACGGGUCUUCCUCCUGUGUGGCUGUAGUGACAUCAUAACAAUCUGCCAUCACCUUCAUUGUCUUAAAGAUCGGCAGAUGGGGCACCCAGGUAGUGAGCCUCCUUUCUCCUAUGAAUGAAUGUAUGAUUCCUAAGUUUGGGGGCAACCUGGGUAUUGACUCUAAAUUUGAAUUAGUGUGUUCUAGGCUAUGGUCCAUCUCAGGAUUUUGGCUUUCCUCUGAAAGUGAUGAGUACUGAAGGGUUUGAACCAAGAGGGGCACAGAGAAAAUAGAUGAAUAGAUAAGAUGAUGGCCUGUUGGAGAAACUAAGUUGGCUGGGGCUGCAAUAUAUUUUUCAGGUGGGGCCCCAAGUGGCAAGAUGGGCGGGAAUCAGGUUGUGAAAGGCCCUCUACACUGUGUUUAAGGAUUUUGUACGUGGCCCUGGGGACAGUGGAAGCCAUUGAGUAGGUGAGCGAUAAGAUCAAAUAUGGAUUUUCUUUUAUUAUUUAUUUUUGGGAGAGCGCAGGGGUCAAGGGGCAGCCAGAGGGGGACAGAGGAUCCGAAGCGGGCUCUUUGCUGACUGGCUGACAACAGCGAGCCUGAUGUGGGGCUCCAACUCACAAACCACAAGAUCAUGACCUGAGCUGAAGUCGGAUGUUCAGCCAACUGAGCCCUUCAGAUGUGGUGCCCUUCAGAUGUGGUGCCUUUAAGAUCACCGUGUGGGGAUCAGGCUGCCGGGGAAAAGAUGGAACUUAAGUGAGUCACAGCGUGACGAGCACCGUUGUAAGUGACCUAUGCAUAUGUAUCCAUGUGUGUGCAUGUAUACACUCAUUUUAAUCCAACAACAAUGAAGUCAGUUUUACUAUUUGUCUUUUUGAAAGAAGACUAAAGCAAAGGGAGGCUGACCGAGGUCACACAGCUGGUAAUGGUAGAGCCAUGAUGUGAGCCUAUAUACAGUCUUAGUUCCAGAGUCUGUGUACUUAAUCAUUACGUUAUUUUGCCUUUCAUAGGGUAUUGGUAGGAUUAUCAUCAUAUUUUAAUUCAUAAUAAUAGCACUAGUUUUCUAUGAAACACUUCUAUUUACUAGCUCAGUGAACUUUUGUAUUUAUUCUCAUUCCUUCGGAAUAAAAUGAGAAAUUUCAGUGAAUUAGAGUUCUGUAAAAUAUUCAUCAAGUUUCCAAUGAAGUUUUCCAAGUAGAGGUUAAUUAAGGUCUUCUUGGUCAACUUUAAGCUUUGUAUGGGAAUUUGUGUGACAAAUUUCAUGGUUGAGUGUUUUCAAGGCCUUCAGUGGAUACAUGUGAGAGUCCAGGGGAUAUGAAAUUCCAAAAUGCCCGCCCCCCACAGGUAAGACUCAGCUAACUAUAGAUGGGAUCUUCCAAUUCAGUGGAAAGACAAGAAAGGCAGCAUUAAGAAUAAAGGAGAGUCGACUUUUGAGAAGGAGACAGCUCACUGACAUCCAGGAGAACUGAAUAUGUUGGUAACUGCAGUGACCUCACUUGGUUUCUGAAAACAGAAUAACCAUUGUUAUCCAGUGCGUUUCAGUAAGUGAAUGGUGACUGUGAGUGCAUCCAAGGACUGUAAUUCAAGAAAGACCAAACAUACAGUUGACGAGUAUUUAAGUAACUAGAGGAGAUGUUUCAGAGAUUUUGUUGGUACUCAGCCACCUGCUUGUUAGAAUCACGUGGGGAGGUUUUUAAAUUACCAGGCAGAAUCUGCCGCCACUGGGGUUGGGGUGAAGAAGUGUGCAGAGAUGCCUACAUGGGCCCAGGCACUGGGAUUGUGUUGUAAGCUCCCCUAGCCUUUAGAUGGAGAGAUACUUGAGGAUCAAGGUGAGACGUUCCCAUUUAUCUCUGCUCUCUUAAGGAGCUCUAGCAAAAGGCAGUGGGCACUUUUAAGUUGGAGGUACAGAUAAUCCCACCCAUUUCAAUAGUACCUAGAUUUCUAAUUUCUUUGUAUAUGACUUUUAGAAUAUAUGGAAAACCCAUAUUGUGCCAAACAUGAGCAAGACAGCUGCCCCCUCUUCCUCCAAAAUGAAGAUAAGACCACAUUUCCUUCCUUAAGAGAACUAGGUCAGGUGGGAGAAAGAGGAAGGUGUGUGGAGGGAGGGAACUAGCAAGGCAUCAGCAAGAAUAGCUAUUAUCUAGGUGACACAUGCUAAUAAACGAAAAGGGGGCUGCUGGUUGGGAAUGUUUAGGGAGGGGAAGGAGGGAAAGGAAGGAUGGAAAGGAGGAAGGGAGGGAGGGAAGAAGGAAGGAAGAUACUCUCUUGACAUGUCUCCGUGACAAAAAAAAAAAAAAAAAAAAAGGAACCAUUAAGCCCAUCUUUCAUCACAUACCAAUUCUUAUUGGAAAUCAUGCAGUUAACAAAUUGGAAAGUAACAUGUUUGGCUUUUGUUUAUUCUGUUCUCUAGACCCAAGUUUUUACUGAAGAGGAAUGUUAACAUAAUGCAAUGAAUUUUCAUGAUUAUUGCCCGUAGUGCUUUCUUUUUAUUAUUUUGCCUUUUAACAUGUUUCUUAUUAGAGGAAUGAUAUCGUCAGCCCUUUUAGUGGUAAGGGAAGUUGCAGUUCACAAGAUCACCAAUUAGAGACGAUUAGAACCUGGCGGCUUGGUUGUGCCAUUUAAAGAGAGCUCAGCUGACACUUCCAGAAACAGUGCAGAACUGUUAGUCUACGAGCCCCAUGGCUGUGGUUUCACCUUAGAAGAAUCACACAGAGUUCUUGUUAACAUACUUAUUCCUGGGAUUUUCACUCUGCAAGGGCAUUAGGAAUGGCCAGGUCCUAACCACCUAGGCAUUCUGCACCCUCAGAGGAAAGGGUGUUAUUGGCUAGAGCCAGAAAUCCACAUCAUUACACUCCCCACUGUUUCUACCAUAUCAUGCAAGUUCAUUUUUAAGCAUAAUAUGCAAUCAGAAAAGAAACCGAGUUCUUCACAGGGCAAUAAUGCACAUAGUGACCAUUUCUAAAGAUUCCCCACUACCUUAGAGGACUAUCAGUAGGAUCCUUUGGUACCUACAUUUGCUUUGAAAGCAAUUAGCAACUGGGGUAGAGGUGGGAGAUCAUGUCCUUGAAAUAAGUUUUAACAGGUUCCAGUGAUCAGUGUGGAUCACCUUGCUUUUUACUCCAUCACUAGGAACUGCGGUGGAUUUUCUGUUACCCUGUAUUUAACAAGUAUCCUUGUGAAAGGAUCCAGAACAUCCUGCAGCUAGAUUUUCUCCUUAUAUAUUAUUUUGAUGUUAUAAACUUUUGGCCAGAUUGGUUUUUAAGGUACUGCAUGAUUUUUUAAGACAAAAUUAGGGGUUGACUUAGCACAUUGUCUGAUCUUGCAUUUUUUAUACAGAAACGGAUUUUUGAUUGAAACCACUCAUAGUAUGGACAUCUUGCUCUAUUCAGAGAUAGAAGAUCUUUGAAUCAGGAGGGACCUUAGCAGACGCCCUCUCUAGUCAUUCCCAAAGCAUUCCCUGCAGCGCCCACGAGACAGGCCAUCUUCACACUGUCAGGGAGAGACAUCUCUCGAAGGACCUUGUCAAAUAAAAUACAGAAUAAUUUCGUCUUUUAUGGACUGUUGCCAAGUUGAUACUUAACGGGAUUAAAACUGAAGUGACUUGAUGAACUGACCUCGAUUUAAAAUUAUUUUAUGGCAUUUUAUGGUAGUCAUCGGGUAAAGCUUAGCCGACCAACCAGAGCAUGCUCUGCCUACCAAGAAUUUGAUUACUAUUUUUUAUGUGUAAAGGGGAAAAAGGAAAAAGCAGAAAGAGCGUAGGAUCUGCAGACCCCUCAGUCUGCGAGGAAGCCCUUUGCAUCCUUGCCUUGCCACCUCAACAAGGUCUGGGCUUUGCAAUCAGUCGGGCCCCUGUUGGAAUUGCAGCCGCCUCCCCUUCACCAGGGGAGGGGUUUAUGGGGAUUUUGUGGCGAGGGAGUUAGGCCCUGCUCAUGGCGCUGUGGUGUAGCCACCUGAGACAGAACGGAAGGGCACUUGGCGCGGAAGGGGCCACCUCUUCUGGCCACUUUGUUUCCCUCUCUCUUUUUCCGAGGGUUUUGUCUCCCCACUUCUCUUAGAUCACUUACCGAAGUCUUUUCUUUUGGCAUCCAUUUCAAUCUCGGAGAUUUCUCCAAAAAGCUUAUACUGGUAACGAACACUGAAGCCACUAGCAUUUAGCAAGCCCCUUUCAGGCACCAGGCAUAAGCAAGUACCUUACAAGCAUUUUCCUUUUCCAUUUACUUUUUGCAAGAACUCAGGAGACUGGCACAGUUGAGGCCCAGAAAUUAAACGUACUAGAGUCGAGGUAUGAUCCAGACCUCUGUCUGACUCCGAAGCACUUCAUAACUGCAUGUUACUCCAAGGAUCUCCUUGGAACGUUCAUUCUGUUUCUACCCCGAUCCCAGGUAGCCGUGGUUAUGAAAACGGUUAGAGCCAGGACAGACCCCGCCUGGGCGGUGCUCUCAGCCCCUUGCGUGUAUUGAUUCUUUGGAGGCUCACCACGGCUCUGUACAAGUUCUGUCUCUAUCUCCAUUUUUCAGGUCAGGAAACCGAGGCACAGAGAGGCUAAGUCACUCACCCACUUACCCAGGGUCACAUAGAGUUAAAAGUGGUGGUCAGACUGUGCUUCUGCUCCCUCCCGUUGCCUUUAACUGUCCUGGUUGUCCUUUCUAGUUUUCCAGCGAUGUGAGGAAUUCUCUCCGUAGCCUUCCUACAGUCCUUCUAAAGCAGUGAUGUAUUGGCUGUGAGAUCCAAAGGCUACACCGGGAGUAAUGCCUAAGCAAGGAAGAACAAACAGCAAAUUCAUUAACCAGGAAUCUAUUUACAGUCAAUUCCCAAGGCUCAUGGUACAGAGGAGCUUCCACAUCAUUUAGAGCUGCUAAUAAAUAAAAAGUCUUUGCAUCUUU